rnacentral:misc_RNA from 1 species
UUGGUUAGUUUCGUUUUACAAGCAGGCAAUGAAAAAAAGAAAUUGCUCUCUCUUUCCAUUACUUGUUUAUUUGUAAGUUCUACGAUCAAAAUGGGUUGGGUUAUUAUUCCGCAACAUUUCUCAGGGAUGAACCGAAGAAAUGAUUGUGGGAUAAGAAAAAAAAUGUUGUUUCUCUCUCUGGAUUCAAGUCUUUUCCUGUUCGAAAACAAUCGAGACUAAAAAAACCAGGGAGUGAAAAAAAAGUUUCGGUUCGCGGGACACAAAGUGCUUCCACCGACUGGAAAUAAAUCCAAUCAAUGUCACAUCUUGUUUUUUUGGUUGAGGGUGUGGUAAUGAUCCUUCCGCAGGUUCACCUACGGAAA